rnacentral:lncRNA from 1 species
CCGGAUCAAAACAUCAAACCGCGACUCGCGUCAGAGAGCCGCCGCACCCGAGAGCUUUACCGCCGGUAAGUCUCGAUUUUUCGUAAUUUUUUGGCCCACCGAGGGACCUAGGGUUGUUUUAUCGCAGGAACCAAUGCAAGUUUGGCUGAAUUCGGCCGAAAAUGGCCAACCCGAGGUGGAUAGCUGCCACGGGCGGAAUUGUGAUAUUGGCCGAAAAGGGGCCUUGGAUCUGAUUUGGGGUUUUUUGGGACACGUGCAGGUAUCAGUAGUGCAUUUCAGUUUUUUGGAGAAAAUUCAGGGAAUUUAGAGACAGCCCGUAGGCGCAUUGU